UACAGAGGUCUCAAGCGUUUGUUCGGAUUCAUUGGGCGUAAAGGGUGUGUAGGUGGCGCGCUAAGUCGGGUGUGAAAUCUUGGAGCUUAACUCCGAAACUGCAUUCGAUACUGGCGUGCUUGAGGACUGGAGAGGAGACUGGAAUUCAUGGUGUAGCAGUGAAAAUGCGUAGAGAUCAUGAGGAAGACCAGUGGCGAAGGCGGGUCUCUGGACAGUUCCUGACACUGAGACACGAAAGCCAGGGGAGCAAAACGGG
rnacentral:rRNA from 1 species